GUCCUAUUUUGCACAUAGGAGUAAUUUUAUACCAUUUUGAAAUCAAAUGGAUUAAGUAGUUACAGACAAUUGUUAAGCAUUGAAAAUAAUCAUAAAAAAGAAUGGAUGGAAAAAGAGAUCCUUGCAACAGACCCAUGUUAAUUACCCUUGCAGCUGGGAGAUCAAUUUGCAUAUGGAGUCUUUGAAGCCUGUCAGACAUGCUCACUGGAGGAUUUCGAUAUUAACCUGAAUCCUGAUCAUAGAAAGCUGAAAAGAAUAAGACCAGGAGAGCAACCCUCAACCAGAAUUUCUUUCACAUUCAAUUUUGGGGAUUUUCUUCUUCAGCCUCACAGCAUCUCCUACCCCACCCCCUCAGCUCAGAAAUGUCUGACUGCACAUUUGCCAAAGGGUGUUUUACUAUGGUAAUCUUCAGGCCUAUACAAAGAACAUAGUCAAAAUAAAUAGCUCCCUUUAAAUGUCAUUAUGUGGAGUAAAAUUCUAUGUGGUGUAUUAAUAGGCCUCCCACAGCUAAAUCCUAGCACACCACUUUGAAAAAUGUCCCCCUCGUGUGUAUCACUUAAACUGACAGAAGUGAGGGAAUUCAAGAGUUAAGAGGGAACACUGUGGCUCUUAUGAAAAUUAAUAGAAGGCAGAAGAGUAUGAAUUAACAAAUGAGAAAUAAGCAAGCUUUGUUUUAAAAUGUAUUUUGCUUUUUAUGCUUCCUAAUGUUAUUUUAAUGUGUGAGAACUGAUGAGAGGGCCAGCUCUUUUCUUUGCCAUUUAAUUUGUUCAUUUUUUUAAAUUUAACAAAUCUUUAAUGGAAGUAGAAAUCAAGUCAUUGUCAUGAAGGAAGAA